CGGCCGCAUCGCGUUCAAACACCAGUUCCCCCUUGUGAUCAACGAAGUUAAGCAACGUUGAGCCUGAUCAGUAACUAGAUGGGUAACCAUUUGGGAAUACCAGGUACUGUAAG